AGCGAGCUCUCACAGUAAUUUUGAAACUAUUUUGAGUUAAAUUAAUAAAAAUGGAUCCUACACAAGACCAAUUCCGGAUGUUCAUACAAGCAGCAUCACGUCGAAGCCAAAGAUCCGAUGGCAGCAGUCACUAUGGUAGUCAACCUACACCGCCGCAGAUAGAUGAUUCGUGCGAUGAAAAAUUCAAGCUACGGGAGAGUUGCAAAUGCCGAACCUGCACCUUCAAAGAAGGAUAAUUCAGUUUUUAAGCUCUCUAAGAGGAAAAGCGCUGAGUCGCCACGGAGCUGGAAGGAGCGCACUGGAACUUCAAAAUGGUACGGAGACUCUACCGAAGCAGCAUGCUUGAAAUUAACUGCAGGACAGGUCAACAAUCCUUGCAAAAACAGCAGCCUUCAUCGUGUUCCGUUUCAUGAGAUGAAAAUGUCAAGCUACGGGAAUGUUGCAAAUGGCAGUACAACGGAUUGGAUUUUGCAACAGAAUCACGCAAAGUACGACAGAUGUAGGUUAACAGAUUUAUCCAACACUCGAGUCAAAAGCAGCAAUCUCUCCUCUACAGUAGCCACGUCUUUGAAGUCUCACUCUGCAUCCAUCAAAGGAAAUGAUAAAUCACUGAGAAAACUGAUCAGUGAUUCAACGGGUACAGAAGAAAUGAUCGAUCUUGAUUCGAUUUCCAGUUACUGUAAAGAAAAUGUCGUUAAAGCAAGUCAUCAGCAGUAUCGAAAAAGCGUUAUUGAAGAAAGAGAGCAGAUCAGCCCAAGCCUGGCUUCUACAAAAUGCAAAGAACAAAAUAUAAUUUCAUUGGAUCAUCCAUA